UCCUAUUGACAUUGUUGGAGGUCU
rnacentral:siRNA from 1 species